rnacentral:lncRNA from 1 species
UUAUACAAAUUAUAAUGAUAAAGAAAGAAAUUAUAUAGCUAGAGGAAAAGUUAGACCUUUAGAACCUAAAAUAGAAUUUCAGACAUCACAUAAACCACAGAUAUUAAAUAUUACAGCACAUGACCCUCAAACUUGAAAUAAUAUAAUAGAAGUAUGGAAGAAUACAAUAUUAGGCCAUUAUAUUAGAUUAGCAGAUAAUAUGGAAUCAUUAGAAAUGUAUAGAUAUUUAGAAACAUUUUUAGGAGAAAGUGCUAAAACUACAUGGGAAGCUUUU